rnacentral:rRNA from 1 species
CGGAUUGCAGGCUGCAACCCGCCUGCAUGAAGUUGGAAUCGCUAGUAAUCGCGGAUCAGCAUGCCGCGGUGAAUACGUUCCCGGGCCUUGUACACACCGCCCGUCACACCAUGAGAGUCGGGAACACCCGAAGUCCGUAGCCUGACCGCAAGGGGGCGCGGCCGAAGGUGGGUUCGAUAAUUGGGGUGAAGUCGUAACAAGGUACC